UUUAAUUCGAAGCAACGCGAAGAACCUUACCAGGUCUUGACAUCCUCUGACAACCCUAGAGAUAGGGCUUCUCCUUCGGGAGCAGAGUGACAGGUGGUGCAUGGUUGUCGUCAGCUCGUGUCGUGAGAUGUUGGGUUAAGUCCCGCAACGAGCGCAACCCUUGAUCUUAGUUGCCAUCAUUUAGUUGGGCACUCUAAGGUGACUGCCGGUGACAAACCGGAGGAAGGUGGGGAUGACGUCAAAUCAUCAUGCCCCUUAUGACCUGGGCUACACACGUGCUACAAUGGACGGUACAAAGAGCUGCAAGACCGCGAGGUAGAGCUAAUCUCAUAAAACCGUUCUCAGUUCGGAUUGUAGGCUGCAACUCGCCUACAUGAAGCUGGAAUCGCUAGUAAUCGCGGAUCAGCAUGCCG
rnacentral:rRNA from 1 species